rnacentral:rRNA from 1 species
AAGAGCAAUUAUUCAGACAAGCCACCUGACAUUGUUGAGAGCUUUUGGCAACUGCACCCCGAGCAUUAUCAGGUAGCCUCACAUCUGUCAUGACAUAGAACUUAUCAGACUGAGUGUGCGCGGAUCUCGAGUUGGUCUGGCAGAACAAUGGUGCAUUCCUCUUGCACCCACCACUGUAAUCUUGGAGGUCCCAGUCACUCUGAACCUUCUGGCUGA